UAAGAAGGAAGGAUUGUGGAGCAGCCAUUGCCUGACAUUUUAAAUGCUUACAUAUUUUCAUUUUAUUGUUAAAAGAAAACCAAAUUAGCUUUCUCUAUGUUUUAAUUGCUGUAAUGAAAAAUAAUCUUGUUUAGUUCUUGUUCUUGGUGCCCUCUACACGGCAAAGUUGACCCUGUAUUACCAGGGUUUCCACUCAUCAUUCAUCACUGGUUAUGUAAAAUUUUCCCUCCCUUGCUUUAAAGGUCAUAUAUUUCAGCUAGAGGGUAGCUGAAAUUAUCUUCUUGCAUCUACCGUUCCAUUAUUGGGACCUUGAUACUGAAAAUGGGUCUCUCAGGUCUCCCAGCACCAUCAGAAGGAGUGCUAUGUGUAUUCCAAUCAAUCCUUCACAUUGUCGGUAUUGCGUCUUCAUCGCCAUCCUCGGAUUCUGUCGAAAAUCCCUCGGAAUCAUUCGAAUUCACCCCUACAACUUGUGAUAGUUACAUGGAAGAGUUCCGGAAUAGAACCCCAGCGAUGAGGUUUGAUGCUAUAUGUAGCUGCAAGCAACCUGAGUAUGAAUGUUCGGUUUGCCUAACUCGAUUUGAGCCGGAAUCGGAGGUUAAUCGCUUGACCUGCGGCCAUCUCUUUCACAAGGUGUGCUUGGAAAAGUGGUUGGAUUAUCAGAAGGUUACAUGCCCGGAUUGCCGGACGCCUCUGCUGCAUGAACAAGAGGCUUCCUGCAUUUGGUGAGAAUAGUACAACCGUGAUGAAGGUGUUUAUUGUACAGCGAUUAAUAUGGAAGUUAUGGGCCUGUGAUACCCGUUUCUGAUGAUAUAUGCAUCUCACUCGAACUCUUCAUAUGUUUUAUCAUAUGUUUUAUUUUUAUUUUUUGGGUGAAUUAAUAAAGGAGGGCAAAAUUCUACUAGUAUCGCGAUUAACAUGACUCGAAUUCAAAACGUAUUUGAGUUUGAUGCAUAUUCAGACAAAUAUAAAAAAAGUGCUGUAAGGAAUUUUUUUUUCUCUUCAUCCUCGAAUAUAUCCAAAAACAACUAAGAAAUUGAUGUCUA